UACGGAGGGUGCAAGCGUUGCUCGGAAUCACUGGGCGUAAAGCGACCGCAGGCGGUCUGACAAGUCGGAUGUGAAAGCCCUGGGCUCAACUCAGGAAUAGCAUUCGAGACUGGCAGACUUGAGUACGGGAGAGGGGGGUGGAAUUCCUGGUGUAGCAGUGAAAUGCGUAGAUAUCAGGAGGAAUACCGAUGGCGAAGGCAGGUCUCUGGGCUGACACUGACGCUCAUGCACGGAAGCGUGGGGAGCAAACAGG
rnacentral:rRNA from 1 species